rnacentral:rRNA from 1 species
AUAUUACCAUGCUGAAUAUACCGGUUCUCGUUAGAUCACCGAAGUUAAGCAUCAUUGGGCGCGGUCAGUACUUGGGUGGGUGACCACCUGGGAACACUGCGUGCCGUU